UAGGCUGAAUUCCUUCCAAACGCCGUAGGAGGCCACUGCCCGCAUUACCCGCCGGGUGUUCUCCCCAGGGUUUGGACCUCCAACGAGGCAUAAAUGAUGUGUCUGCAAGAUGGAAUACAUUUUCUAAAUAGGAGAGGAGUUUAUUGAUGGUGCCACACACUUCAAGGCUCAUCUCCUCUGCUUGCUGGCAAGUCCCAUCACCCAGGGCACGAGCAUAAAGUUCAUGCAUGGCUGCUAUUGAGCUCCUCAUUGCCUUCAUCUCACUUUCUAUGGUUACUAUUUUUUGAAUGAGGAGGGUAAGGAGGUGAUCUGAGGAGAAUCAAUAUUGAUUCGUUAAAAUUAAGGACCUGGUUUAACCAGCAGUGGAGAGAGUCAUGAAGGAGAAUCACCAAAUAACACCGAUAACGAAGGGUGUCUCUGGGUGGAGUUGGCCUUAUUGGCACAUCUGGCAUGGGAAGCUCUUCACAUCUUGAUGGCAUCUUUAUUGAUUGAUUGAAGGUUCAUACCUUCAUCAGAGCUGCUGAGACACACUGGUCGUCUUUUCCUUUUGGGGAGUCAUCACAGCUCUCAAGUGAAGAUUGCACAGCUGCUUUUUUCGACCACUGUUUAGCUCUUUCAUAGUCAUCUGAAGCAAAAAUAUGGCACCAAUCAAAAAUGACAUGCAUGGGCUGUCGAACAGUGGCUCAGGUUUACUGUUAACACGGCAAAGCACUCCUUGUUCUUUGUCAGCCACUUGCAGGACUUCACAGCAUUGACCACCGCUGAGGACAUAUGCACUGUCUUGGGUCUUGGUAGAGAUUUUGCCUACAGUUGUUGUUUUUUUCUGUUCGACUUUCUCUUCCAGCCUCCUAGCAACCUGAAUCAGUGGGUUUCUACCAGAACGCACCAUCCUCUUGAGUGUCUGCAGAUAGUUUUCAAACAUGAAGGCACUACAAUUUUCCAGACCACUGAAGUUUUCAGCAUCUGUUGCUAUGUGCAACAUUGCAUGUGUGUUGUAAACAAGGAAUUCUUGUCCAUAAAGAUUCCGACCUUUUUCCACAAAAUAAUGCAGCAGUUCAUCUGCAUAUUUCGAGUGUUCCUGCACAAGACUUGGACAUACCAAAAUUAUCAUGGCUAUGCUAAAGGAAAGGAAGUGCAAAUACAUUUAAUCAGGCAGUAUACCCUUCAACACAAUCUUCCCAGUGUAAAGAAGGAACUGACGAAACUCAGUUGCUUUCCACCUGUCCAGUUCCUCAAGACCUCUAGGCUUUCGCACAAAAGUAGAUGGGAUGCAUUUCCGAAGAGACCGCAGUCUUGCACUAAUCUCUGUGAUUUGGCUGGCUGAAACCCUCACAACUCUGUCUCCUCUGGUCCAGAUGUGCAGGAGUCCUUUCAUUACACCUAGACAAGCCUGGUGCAUGUAAUCAAUGGGAAAACUCUGCACCAUGUCUAUGGGGAGUGAAUCCCAAGAUUCAUCAGAUGAGCCAGUUCCCUUACUGUGUCUUCCAAAAAGCCAAGAUCUGUUGGUCGACUUAACCGCUUGUCAGAGCCGUGGGGAAAAUGGUGACUGGGUCUAACAUGACUGCACAAAGAACUGGCCACAUACAUGUUUUGGAACUCUUCUACAGUGAAUGCAAAUAGGGUUCAUUGUCAGAUGAACACUCUCCACAAAUCAUCACCAUGUCAACAUCCUUUUGUGAUUGUUCUUCAAGUGGAAGAUCAAGUGAUUGUACUUCAGCUGGUGGAUUACUCUCCAGG